AGUGUUGACCACCUCCUCCUCCUCCACCCCCGCUUCCACCUACACCGCCACGAUCACCGCCUCCUCAACCUCCUACUCCACAUUCACCUCCUCCUCCUAGUUCAAGAUUAAUAUUUUAAAUUUUUAUGUAUUUUAUGUUAUUUUAAGUUAUUUCCCUAUCCACAUUUGUUUGCGGGGCACUUGUCCGACUCUUACCACCAUUUCUUUCCAGGACUUUUUUAGAGCCUUUUAGUGCCCAAAAGUUCGGGUUGCCUUCAAUGGGGUUCGGGUUCGGGGUCAUGUUAGGGUCAAGUUCGAGAACUCCAAACUCAAACUUUUUGCGGAUGUUCGGCCGAACCCGGCGAACCCGAACAUCCAGGUGUCCGCUCAUCUCUAGUGCAAAUAAAUAAGAAAUGUAAGGUAAUUUACUUACCAAUGAAAUGUGAGGAGAUAUGCCACACCCGACCGAACCCGGAAGUACACAGGCAGGACACGUGAC